rnacentral:lncRNA from 1 species
CUUGAAACAUUAAGGGGGCGUUCGGAUUGACUAAUCUGUAGAUCCAACGUAAGUCAAGUGCAGUGGUGUUUGAGUUUUUCUGAAGUGUGAUUAUUUUUCGGUUGUUUGUUUUGACAUAAUUCGUACUGUCUGAAAGUUAAAUUCGAUUACUUCUUCUGUUUGUUUUGAUGUAACUUGGUGCUGAUAAAAUUAGUUUUUUGAGUUCCGUUGUUUGUUUUGAUGUAAAUAAGUAGAUCUCAUUAUCUCCUAAAUAUAGUAGUAAAUUUACCGCUAUAAAAUUUAACCUAUUAAUAUAAUUAAUUUUUUAUUUAAAGAUAGUCAUAAUUUAUUGUAAAUAAGGUAAUUCUAACUCAUUAUAAAGGAAGUAGAGUUUAAGUUUGACUGUUUAAUAAAUUUUUUAAAGGAAGUUGAGUGUAGUGGAAGUCGAGUUCGAUAUUUUAGAAGAGGAAGUCGAGAGUAGGUGAAGUGCAUGCAGGUCUGAUGUAACUUCAGUUACAUUAUAUUUUUUACUUACAUCAAAAUAAAUAACGGAAGUGAUGGAACUUGACACUUAUACCAAAACAAACGGACCCUAAUAAGCUUCAGUAGGUGCCCGAAC